UCGGGGUGUAGCGCAGCUUGGCAGCGCGCUUCGUUCGGGACGAAGAGGUCGUGGGUUCAAAUCCCGCCACCCCGACAGU
rnacentral:tRNA from 1 species